UGGAAGUAAAAGUCGUAACAAGGUCUCCGUUGGUGAACCAGCGGAGGGAUCAUUACCGAGUUUACAACUCCCAAACCCAAUGUGAACGUUACCAAACUGUUGCCUCGGCGGGAUCUCUGCCCCGGGUGCGUCGCAGCCCCGGACCAAGGCGCCCGCCGGAGGACCAACCAAAACUCUUAUUGUAUACCCCCUCGCGGGUUUUUUUAUAAUCUGAGCCUUCUCGGCGCCUCUCGUAGGCGUUUCGAAAAUGAAUCAAAACUUUCAACAACGGAUCUCUUGGUUCUGGCAUCGAUGAAGAACGCAGCGAAAUGCGAUAAGUAAUGUGAAUUGCAGAAUUCAGUGAAUCAUCGAAUCUUUGAACGCACAUUGCGCCCGCCAGUAUUCUGGCGGGCAUGCCUGUCCGAGCGUCAUUUCAACCCUCGAACCCCUCCGGGGGGUCGGCGUUGGGGAUCGGCCCUUCCCUUAGCGGGGUGGCCGUCUCCGAAAUACAGUGGCGGUCUCGCCGCAGCCUCUCCUGCGCAGUAGUUUGCACACUCGCAUCGGGAGCGCGGCGCGUCCACAGCCGUUAAACACCCAACUUCUGAAAUGUGAC
rnacentral:rRNA from 1 species